UUAUACAAUGGUUGAUUUUUGCUGUUGUCUGAUUAUUUUCAGUCACACAACUGUUAUUAGGUGUCUGUUGUCUGAUAUCUUUUAAGUCAAUAUCUGCUGAAAGAUGUUGUCUGAUUUGAGUGGUUCACACAAUGCUUUUUAACUUGUCUGUUGUCACAUGAGUUUCAGACAAUGCACCUUAUAUUUGAUGUCGUCUGAGUUUUAAAAUUUUUUUUUUCCUAUACAAUGGCUGACUUUUAGCUAGGGUUGAUAUAUUGCUUUAACACUUGGACAAAAAUCAAAAAUUUAACUUUUUCCCUCUCCAUUCGACCAAAACACCCGAGCUCCCGCUUCUCUCUCUCAAAAUCACUUUCGAUCUCACCAACCCUCAGUACUCUCAGCCAUCUCUCUCUCUCUCUCUCUCUCUCUCUCUCUCUCUCUCUCUCUCUCUCUCUCCCAGUGACCAGUGACCGCCAAUCGACCACCACAGUGACGGCCUCCGUUCGAUUCUCUUCCUCCUCCGCCUCGGAACAUAAAAGAUUAAAUCCUGCGAUUUCCUCCACCUCGAGAACGAUCAAACAGCUUCAUCUUCACCGCCAUUCCUCUCUCUUCUCUUUGAAUUUUGCAAUUUUUGAUUGCAUAUUUCUUUCAUUUUCGAUUAAUCGCAGAUUUUCAUCAUCUAUUUUUGUUUUCUCUGUGCCUCCUUCUCAUAUUACUGUGCGAAUUUGUGGGUUCAGGUACUAUGGAUUCAUCAAGAAAAGCCAAGUCCCAGUACCCAAUUCAAGAUCCACUCUUUCCAAGACAGCAUAGUCGAGAAAAUUAAUAGAAUUUAUAGUCUUGUUUCUUACUGGAGGGCCAGUUGGGGCAUUGAUUGUUGCUCCUACGAGGAUGAAGCAGCCUGCCAUUGUAUUGAUGAUCUGGAAAAAAUGAAAAGAAUUUAUCAUUGUGCAGUGGAGGGGAAUGCUCUUAAGGCAAUUGAACUGAUAGAACAGCUGGCGAAUGACUUACGGGAGAAAAAUAAAGACUUGCAUUUUGAUCUUCUCAGCCUUCACUUUGUUGAACUUGUUUGCUCUAGAAAUAAAGGGAGCACAGAUCAGCAUGCGUGAGUUUUCAAUUUACUUUAUUAAGUUUAUCUAUAUCUUGAUGUAUCUUGUGCAGAUACAUCCAACAACUGAGAGAUGCAUGGCGUACACAAUUUCUUUGUGACAUUCAUUGAAGUACUACAAGAUAGGCCUCCUAGUCACAUGUGGUGACUACCUAUUUGAAUGCUACAGGGAACACGAUCGGCUCUUUAUUCUAAUGACCGAGAGUCGAUUACGGUUUCUGUGGAAGAAGUGACACCUAGAUCUGUAGGUGCUCUUAUAGCACUUUAUGAGAGAGCGGUUGGGAUUUAUGCCUCACUUGUCAACAUUAAUGCUUACCAUCAACCUGGAUGAGUUGCUGCAAAUGGUGCCACCUAAAAACUUAACACUAUCUUUCUCAUCGGAGAGUUCCGUUGAAGAACUUGAGAGAGAAAGCAUUGCAGAUGCUAUUACAAUAUUGCUUAAUAUGCAGGUUAGAGCAAACCGCUAAAUGAAAUGUAUAAGUGAAUGAUAGAAGAGACAUGGGCUGGAUAGCGUAUUGAGCUAGAUGGUGGAAAUGAAAGGCAAUGUGCAGUCAUUGGGAGAUCAAGCUUGGAACACAUAGCAAAUUGUAUUCUUCCUUAAAGUGACAGUAACAAAUGUGAUCAUCAUCUUGUUCUGAUUCCAGUGCAACGGUUAUAAUUUCUUGCAGCGGGUUACCUCAACUCAGUGAAUGGCUGAGAGUUCAGUUCUUGAUGCACAUACUAGUGAAGCUCAAGAAUCUAACAGUUACCGGCACUAUGUGGCUUCAACAACCGAACGAGAUGGUGGGGCAAAUGCAAGGAAAAUAGAGAGCCGAGAGGCUAGUUGAGGAGGAAAAUAGAGAUAUGAAAUGCAAGGAAAUCAGAGUUUUCUUUAAGAUUCAAUUUGUUAAUGGACGUGUACCACAAUCUAUACCAGAAAUACAAGGGUUGGUGUGCGAGGACAUAACUGGGGGUCUAGAGGAUAUUGCCAUUCCAGCUAGCAAUUUGGUCGAUGAUCCGCCUGUUGCUCCUACAGGC